UAUAAACACCUAAAUAAUCUCCUGACCCUCUUGUUUGCCAGAUGGAACUAUGUUUGCCUCCUUUCCAUUGGUUGUCAGCAAUUUCUGCCUUUGAGAAUUCCGUCCUUCUUAGAUAUAUGAACAUGCAUAUGGCCCGCUGCCUGUGUUUGGAACUUGAUUUACAGUCUGUGGCCUGCUUCCUAUCCCAGCCCUGUUGGAUUUGUUUGCCAGUUUGGACUAUCUUCAAGUUGCCAAACUACUACUUCAGGCUUCUGCAGUGAAGAGUACAAACCGUUCCAGUGUAUGUCCAUCAAAAACUGCGUUAGAGCCAUUUCUCCAAUGGAACCCUCAGCUUUGAGAUUUGUGACCCAGCUGCAAGACCUUCGGCCGUCUGUCAUCUUCUGAGCAACAUCAUGGAAGAAUGCAGAUUGCUUCAUCUCUGUGGCCACUAAAGUGAGUGAGAAAAAAAAUCCCUCAACUUCACAGAAUUGCUGAAUGUCCGUUUUUACAAAGUCGCAGAAAAGGAGGCGAGAGAUGUAAGCUGAUUGAUGCUGUUUCAUGAAACAGUAUGAUAUAGGUGCUUCCUGAAAUAUAAGGACUCUGCUUUGGUUCAAGCUGAAAGAAGUUGUUGUGGCACCACUCAGUGGAAGCCUUGACGAGACGGUAUUUGUGUAUCAGUUAAAUCUAAAUCAUAGGACAUAAAGGGUUGUUUACCUUGUUGAUGUGUUGGACAUUCAAAGAUAUCUGACUUAUUAACUGUCACCUGCAACACUUUUAAUAAAGACAAAAAAAAAUGGGGAUUCAAUUAGAUGUCAACAGUAAACAGACUGAGGUAUGUUUCUCUGUGUUCAUCUCAAAUCUCAGUUAUCAUCCAAACGCGCAAGCGUUCGUGGGUCAUCUCCGUACAUAUAUUACAAAUAUAUUUUUUAUACUUUCAUGCUGGGAACUUUUGCACAUCACCUAAACAAUAUUUGGCACAUUCCUGCAUAAAGUACUACCACUCAAAGUGCAAGCACUGUCUUUUAUAUUUAUUGUGCAUUAACUCUUUUUUUUAUUUACAAAUCUCGGCGUUGCAGUAGUACGUUUUAUUUUUAUGUUCUCCUACUUUGCUUAUUGUGUGUACCUAACAUAGACUUAGAAUGGACUAUUGUCCACAUUCAUUAAUUCUGGAUUUUUAAAUGAGAGCUGAGUAGACAGACAUUUUUUUUAAGAACUUUGAA